CGCGCAGGCGGUCCUUUAAGUCUGAUGUGAAAGCCCACGGCUCAACCGUGGAGGGUCAUUGGAAACUGGGGGACUUGAGUGCAGAAGAGGAGAGUGGAAUUCCACGUGUAGCGGUGAAAUGCGUAGAGAUGUGGAGGAACACCAGUGGCGAAGGCGACUCUCUGGUCUGUAACUGACGCUGAGGCGCGAAAGCGUGGGGAGCGAACA
rnacentral:rRNA from 1 species